UUCUUCAACGCUCAGACCCAAGUCCCCAUUGAGACUCUCCUCGCUCUCUCUAUCUACUGCCUUUACCUUCAUCUUCAUAAUUCACAUAACAGUUGGAGAGUCUCUGUGCUGCAGCUGAUUUAACCUUUUAGAGGCAUCUUGUUUCUCACUGAUGUACUUGGUUCAAGAUUGUGGCCCGCAUCAGAAAUACAGAUCAAAUGCCAUCAUUAAAGAUGAAAACCAAGUUGAAUGCGGACUGUUUAAGACAAAAAAAUGGUCUCCAUGUAUGUCAGAAGUCAAGUACAAUAUCCAAGCAUUCUUGCUCUCGCAUUAGAAUUUCUCAGCAAACAGCAGAAUUUGAAUCAUGUAUUCAAAGUUGUCAGGAUGUUUCUUCAAGCAAUGAAGUCUCCACACAGGAUACUGGAAGUAAUGAAGCAGCUAUUGACCAGCAAGAACUGCUAGAUGCUGAAAAUCUUCAGUUUCAGAUGGAGUUGUCAUCUUUAGUCGAUCCCAUAACUAUGGAGAAUAUGGAAUAUGCCACAGUCCCCUGGCCAUCAAACUUAGAGACAAUUUUCUCACCUGUUCUUGAGUCUGUUGACGUUCACAGUGAACUAAAUAUUCUCAACAGUGCAGGGAGCUACAAUGAACCUUAUUUGGCACAGUUGAUAGCUGAUGAUAGUGAUGAUAACAGCAGAAGCUCAUCUGACUAUCAAACUUGCAAUGUAUCAGAUUUUUACAUUUCUGAUAUGAUUGUUGCAGACCUACCCAUUGAUGGGAACUCCAUGUAUGAUGACAUUACUGGGAUCAAUCCCUUUCCUGAUUACAAAUAUGGUGAACCAAGUAUGUUGUUUGAUGUGGCUGAGCAAUGUAUGAUACUACCUUUCCUUGAGGAUACUAGGGAAGCUAGAAAUAUCUACGGUCCUACUUCCUGUGAAGAAGCCAUGGUUGGUUCGGACAAUUCAAGCUUAUAUCUAGCAAUUCAUCAGAUGAGAUCCUGCAACCAGGAAUCUGACAUAAACCCUUGCUCUGACCAAGAUCAAGCAGAGUGCUUUGAUCCACAUUUGUUUAUCAGAAAUUUACCAGACCUAUCUGAUGUGGUAGCAAAUUCUCGGCCUACUAUAUUGCCUAAGGAAACACGGAAAAAGAAGAGUAUUACUCUAGUACUUGAUUUGGAUGAAACGCUCGUGCAUUCUACAUUGGAACAUUGUGAUGAUGCAGAUUUCACCUUUCCUGUUUUUUUCAACAUGAAAGACCACACUGUAUAUGUAAAACAGAGGCCUUACCUCCAUACUUUCUUGGAGAGAGUUGCAGAGAUGUUCGAAAUUGUUGUUUUCACUGCCAGUCAAAGCAUCUAUGCUGAACAACUUUUGGAUAUACUUGAUCCUGAUGGAAAGCUUUUUUCUCAUCGAGCUUAUCGUGAAUCAUGCAUUUUUUCAGAUGGCAGUUACACUAAAGACUUGACGGUUUUAGGCAUAGACCUUGCAAAAGUUGCUAUAAUUGAUAAUUCACCCCAGGUUUUCCAGUUGCAAGUGAAUAAUGGGAUUCCUAUUAAGAGUUGGUUUGAUGAUCCGUCAGACCAUGCACUAAUUUCACUACUUCCCUUCCUAGAGACCCUGGUUGAUGCUGAUGAUGUCCGUCCUAUCAUUGCCAAGAGAUUCGGUAACAAGGAAUAAGAACCCCUCCUUGGUUCUCUUUUUCAUUAGCUCAAAUUUAAUGACUCCUUCCCUGUGUCUCUUUUUAAGCAAAAGUUAUGCUUCAAUCAUGUUCAGUUCUCAUUCCUCUUGAGCUCUUUAGAUGAUUGUUUAUACAAUAAAUAAAUCAGUAGCCUUGUUGAGUCAGCUUUUGGUGCUUGUCCCCUUUCUUUUCUCCUCUUGGCUAACAAACUCAGUGAAGCAUUCUUACCUAAUUUGUCUCAACAAGUAGUUUCCCGAGAGCAUAUAUCAUUUUCAUUGUACAGUUAUAGGUGCUAUUAUAUUGCAAGAGUGUGUAUAUGUACUAUUUUUAUUGUGAAAUAAAAUUCUUACAGACCCUUGUUUGCCCUUUAUCUAUUGAGCCAGUUUCCAAGAAAGUUUUUUUCUGCUCUUUCUUCAUUUUUCUGCCACUUCUAUGAAAUUAUUUCACUCCUUUAUGUAUUCUUGUAAGAAGAUAUGCAUGAAGUUUGGCUCUUAGCUGAGAGAAAUGAUGUUAUCUUUGAUACAAUAUGGUGUUCCCAUCUUUUGUUUAGUUGUUUAUAUUCACAAAUUGAAUAUAAUUAUUUUUUUUUUAAUGUUGACUAGCUUUUCUCUCGAUCAAAUUUUAGAUAUGGGCCUUAAAAGGAAUUUUGUUCCAGUUACUUUGUGUGCACAAGGAAUGAUAUUAUUUCAAGAAACUUACAACUAGAAGCAAAUUAGAACAAAGGAAGUCGAGAUAACCUAAAAAUAUGAUAGACUAGAUAAUUCCUUUGUAACAAAUGGAUGGAUAUGUAUUAUUAUCAAUAUAACAUACUAUAAUAAGUAAAGAUCUGAAACUUAGCCUAUAUCCAUUUCUAGGCAAAGUUAAUUAAAGAACAAAAGGAAAUUCUAUUAUAUUGAAAAAGAUUGAAUACCACUGAAAGUUUAAGCAAAAGAUUUUUAAACAGAUAUAUUGAUUUAUGUUGAAUAAAGUGAAAAGUAAUAUGAGCUGCAUAAGGAAUAAGAUACUCACCUAUGUAGGCAGUAGGUAUAUAUGAAAGUGUUACUGCUUUCAUGGAAGAACUUUAACAUUUAGAGAGAACAAAGUGAAGAACAGAAACUUGGUCAAGCCAAAUAUGUAACAUUGUUAAAAUAGAUUUGACUGUAACAAUCCGUACAAUAUAAAACAUUAUGUACUCUCAUAGGUAUAUUGUGCUGCAUGUGUGUUUGCACACAUGAUGCAGAACAACUUUGGAAGUACCGCUUGAAAACUUAUGAAAGAAAAGGAACAAAAUUCAGCAAGGGUUGUUUGUUAGAAUUGGAUUUAGUUGUUUAACUAUUUAUGUUUUAUUCAUUAGGGAAAGAAGUUAUUCAUUCUUGGAAAUAGAAUCCUUGUUUUAUUAGGAAAAUGGGUCCUAUGAGUCUAUAUAAAUGCAUGUAAUCUUUCAGAUUUCAUAAUAGAAGUUAUUGAGAGUUCUAAUAACUUGCUUGCUUUUUGGAAGAUAUGACUGCCUUCUUCCAAUUGAGAUUGCUUAGGAAAUCUAGGUGUGACUGCCAAUAUAUAUGUUCUCUUUUUUAAGUCUUCCUUAACCCUUUUUGUCUCAUUUUGCAACUUGAGAAAUUUCUGUAGUGCUGGAAAUUUAAUGAUUCUGUAUCAGUACAUGCUUGUGUGCACUCUUGGGGGGUGGCAGACGGAAGAUUCUGAUACUACUAAUUGAGUGAAGAUCAAAAUGGAUUGGCCCCAAGGGAAGAAAAAAAUAAUAGGUAUGUAGAUUUAAUAGCUAGCUAUCUAAUUGUUAAUUAUGUAGGAAGUUCUUCUCAACUGUGGAUUACCCUGACAUUUUUUCCUUAAAAAGAUGUGACGCAAUAUUAAGAACAAACUAAGCUGUAUAAUUUCAUACCAGGAUAAUCAGAUACUUAGUCAUCUGCUUUAUUUCUUGUUUCUUUACAAGUCAACUCCCCUUGUCAUGUAAAGAUGAUAAGUAAAUCUAUUUUUUGGCUAGUGGAAUACUGUUUUGAUAA